CUAGCCUUGAACUUAAGAUCCUCUUGUCUCAGCCUCCCAAGUGCUAGAAUUACAGGCAUGUGUCACCACGCCAGCCCGAUAUCACAAGGUGUCGUCUACUGGCACUUUGCAAAGCACAAAAGCAAUUCUAAUUUUGUUAAUAAUCAGUUUGACAAGCACUAUAAUUUAUUGAGGGCCUAAUGUGCUCCAAAUCCAAAUCCCCAUUACAUGCGCUGCCUUGAUCACUACCAGGUCCUCUGAUAUCAUCCUCAGUUUAUGGGUGACAAUGACGGUGUUUGGGGAGCUCACAUGAACUUGCCUACACCUAUCUACCAAGUAGGUCAGUGGGAUACAAACUGCUUCCUUACUUGGAGGCCGUGCUCUCAUCCCCAUCUAAGCAUGGGGAAGCUUCACUGUUGGAAAAUACACAACAGGCUCUGCUGAAGGUACAGAGCCAGGCAGACUUGGGGCGACGACUCUGCACGGUAGGUAGGUUUUGCUCUCCCUUGCUGCAAACUCAAAAGCCUAUUUCUAAACACAAGAUGGAAGGCAUGGCUCUAUCGAGUAAGCCUUAAACUGUAAAGUCAUUAUAUCCUCAGACAGCCUGCUGUCUUGUUCAAGCCAUGGCAUGUUAAAUGAAUGCUGGCGAGCACAAAGAUAAUUAGCAAGAAAAUCAGGGAAAUUGGCAGAUGCUCCUCAAGCAGGAGAGGAGAAAAAAAAAAUCCCUGAAGCCUCUUUGGGCUUUUAAUCAAGUGUGUAAGGUACUUCUUCAGAAGAGCUACUGAAUAAUUCUAUUUGAGUCACACAAGUGAUUAGGCAAGGUAUGGGGCACCCAGAAGGGGAAGGUGCUAGUGCUGGAGGUUAGUGAGGGAGGGCAGGAGUCAGCACAGGAAUGUAGUCACCCAGCCACCCUGCCUGCCUGUGCAGGGGAGAGGCAGCACUGGGCUGAGCAGGAAAUGAGGUCCCUCAAUUUCCUGUGAUCAUCACUGUCUGUUAGUGACAGAAGGGGACGGAGCUGAAGGGUGGGGAAAUGGAGACAAGAAGGCAGCUUCAGAAAUGUCAAACGCUUCAGCCUCGCAGACGCUCAGAUUGAAAUAUUUGGCUGGAAAAUAUCAAAAGUCUAAUCAAUUAAGAGGCGUGACCCUGGAACAACCGGACUGUGUCACCCCAUCUGCGCCUCUGCAGAGCCAUGGCGGCCGAGGGGGUGCCUACGGGAUUCAAAACUGGGGCAGAGGCGCGCACCGCCAGAAGCCUUGGCUUGUGGAACCCAAACAAGGUCUUCCACUCAGCACCUCCCAUACUUUUCCCUUUAAGUAUCCAGAUUUGGGAAUGUACCCAAACGAAAGAUAGGGUGGCUUUUUUUUUUUUUAAAUACAUUCAAUAAAAACGACAUUUGGCACA
rnacentral:sRNA from 1 species